UACGAAGGGGGCUAGCGUUGCUCGGAAUCACUGGGCGUAAAGGGUGCGUAGGCGGGUCUUUAAGUCAGGGGGGAAAUCCUGGAGCUCAACUCCAGAACUGCCUUUGAUACUGGCGAGCUUGAGUUCGGGAGAGGUGAGUGGAACUGCGAGUGUAGAGGUGAAAUUCGUAGAUAUUCGCAAGAACACCGGUGGCGAAGGCGGCUCUCUGGACGGUGACUGACGCUGAGACGCGAAAGCGUGGGGAGCAAACAGG
rnacentral:rRNA from 1 species